GGAAGGAUCAUUAGCACCCUAAAUUUACAUUGGUUUCUGAGAGGGCCUCUUUUGGCUCUUUCGGAAACUAAUAUAAACAAAAAACAAAACCUUUAUUUGUGCACUCGUUUCGCCCUCUCUGUUUUUUCUUUCUCUCUCCUAAGGAGAGUUAAAAAAAAGGCUUUGAGGGCAAUUAAACUCCUUGCAUCUUUUUUCCCUAAAAAAGAAAAAAGGUGCAUCUCAAACUCUUGAAGAGUUAGGAGAGAGAGGGGUUGUUUCACAACAACCUUUUCUCGAUCCCAGCUCUUCAUAUCCAACCCUUUUCUCUCUCCUUUUUGGAGAGAGAGAGGGAAGGGGAGGGAGAGGGAGAAUUCAUUUUCUCCUUUCUUCUUCUUCUUUUAAACAACAAUUCUAAUUCAAGAUGUUUAAAAGACAGAAUUCACUUUCUUUCUUUUUUUCUUCUUGUCGGUUUCUCUUUCUUGCGAAAGAAUGGAGGAAGCGUUUAAUCAAAACGUAAAAGGAUCUUGAAGAGUAUUCUCUUUCGGGAGAAGAAAUUCGUUCUUUUCGAACUUGUUUUUUUAUCUCUCUUUGCAAAAGGAGUGUGUAAAAAAGCCUCACAGAGAUUCCAUAUCUUGUAUUUAUUUGCAAGAAGUGGUAGCUUUGUAAAUUUUCUUGUCUCCUUUUUUUCGAAAAAGGUAACAACAAAAAGAUAUACAUGAGAAACAACUCUUAACAAUGGAUAUCUUGGUUCCCGUAACGAUGAAGAACGCAGCGAAAUGCGAUACGUAAUGUGAAUUGCAGGGCUCAGUGAAUCAUCAAAUCUUUGAACGCAUAUUGCGCUCGUGGCGGCGUCAAAACCGAUGCGAGCACAUUCAUUUGAGGGGCUGCUUUAAUUCAAUACACACAAACAAACAAAAUCUCUCUCUAAGAGGGGUUCUGUUUCUUUGUGUAGUAACUGAAAGCUCUUCUGUCUCGCGUUAAAAAACGAGACACGAAGGAAAGUGAGUGACAUUUUCUCGUCAAAAAGGAAACGCCACUUGAAAUAAGCCCUUUUUCUCUCUCCCCAUUGUGUCGUAAAAAACAUGACGGGUUUUUUUUCUUUCUUGAUUUUUGAAAAAUAUCAAGGCACAAAAAGAAAAGAGGAGGAAAAAACUUUACAAACUUCUUUUGGUAUCCUCUUUUUGCUUUAUUGCGAAAGAGGGAAAGAAAGAGGAGCUUUUUUUUUUAAUCUUAAUUGAUGAAAAAAGAGAUCUUUGAUGGAAGGAAUACAUCUUUCGGGAUGCAUUUUUGAUAUUUUCUUUUUAAUUUACCAAUUGAAAUAGGUUUUUUCUACUUGCCAAAUUCUCUUUUUCACUUUAUGUCUUGGUCCAUAUGAAAUCAUAGGAGGAAAGAAAGAUAAAUAAUGUGAGAUGAAAAAAUGUUUCUAAACAAACAAAAGGGGAAAAGCGUCUUAGGGGCACUUUUUAUAUAAAAAGUGUUCGUGGGACAUAACCUUUUUUUUUAGCCCUCAAAUUGAGUGAGAUUACCCGCUGAAUUUAAGCAUAUAACUAAGCGGAGGAAAAGAAACUAACAAGGAUUCCCUCAGUAGCGGCGAGCGAAGCGGGAUGAAGCUCAAGUUGAAAAUCGGCGCUGGCGGAUGCCUUCACGGGUACUUAGAUGCCAUGCGACUGAAUUGUAGUCUACAGGUGUGUUUUCGCGAAGGAUCGGGCAUAAAUUUUUCUUGGAAUUGGGUGCCAGAGAGGGUUACAGCCCCGUAUAUUGGCCCGAGGAAUUGAAAAACCUUUGCUUAACGAAAGCAUACUGAAGAGUCAGGUUGCUUGGGAGUGCAGCCUUAAUUGGGUGGUAAACUCCAUCUAAAGCUAAAUAUUGACGGGAGACCGAUAGCGAACAAGUACCGUGAGGGAAAGAUGGAAAGAACUUUGAAAAGAGAGUGAAAUAGUGCUUGAAAUUGUUAAGAGGAAAAGCGAUUGAAACCAAUCAACUUUUUUCUCAAAAAUGUAAUCAGGUUGGAGUGUUUGGAUGGGAAACAGGCCUCAAAAGCUAAUCCUGUUCAUUAUGCUUCAAUCUGGGUCAACAUCGUUUCGCAAAGCAAAAGAAGGGCUCGGGGCGGUUCUGAUGGCCUAUCGGUAAUCCUUGUGGUUUCUGAUUGGGCUCGCCUUUUCCGUGGUCAUAUAUCAUCUGAAGCUUUUGUGGAAUGACGUACAAAAAUAAGGGGAAAGCCAAGCGGUGGGCCCUUGUCUUGUGCUGGUAGGUCGUGGAUGGAGACUCUUCGGAGUGUCUACUAUGCAUGCUUGCUGCAAGGAUGGGGACGCUCAACCUUUUCCCUCGGGAUGCUUUGACACCAAAUGGUUUUUAUCGACCCGUCUUGAAACACGGACCAAGGAGUCUAACAAAUACGCGAGUAGUAGGGUGGCAAACCUUAGUUAAAACAUUAUGAUGCGAAGUGAAAGCAAAAACGGGUUGGAUCUUCUACUCAGUGAAUGAGGAGGAGUGCACAAUCGGCCGACCGUCCCUCGGGAGUUGGUUUGAGCAAGAGCGUAUCUGUUGGGACCCGAAAGAUGGUGAACUAUGCCUGAAUAGGAUGAAGCCAGAGGAAACUCUGGUGGAGGUCCGUAGCGGUACUGACGUGCAAAUCGUUCGUCAAAUUUGGGUAUAGGGGCGAAAGACUAAUCGAACUAUCUAGUAGCUGGUUCCCUC
rnacentral:misc_RNA from 1 species